rnacentral:rRNA from 1 species
CGAACCAAGUCCCGCCGAGACGCCGGCCGCGGCGAGCGGCCCCGGGGGAUUACCCGGGGGCGCGCGUCCGGGCGAGCUCCGAACGACCCCUCUGGGCGCGGCGAGCGCCAAGGAAUAGAAGCGGAAAGGGCGGCCGCCCCGCCCGGCGCGAGCGACGCUGCGCCGGCGUGGGGAUCCGCCGCCCGUCUGUGGACCAUUUUGCAGACGACUCUCGGCAACGGAUAUCUCGGCUCUCGCAUCGAUGAAGAACGUAGCGAAAUGCGAUACUUGGUGUGAAUUGCAGAAUCCCGCGAACCAUCGAGUCUUUGAACGCAAGUUGCGCCCGAGGCCACUCGGCCGAGGGCACGCCUGCCUGGGCGUCACGCCACCCGUCGCCCCCUCCCGCGGCACUCACGUGCCCGGCCUGGGAGCGGAGACUGGCCGUCCGUGCCCGAGUCCUCGGCGCGCGGUCGGCUGAAAAGGAGGACACCGUGCGGCGCGGCACGGCGCGUGGGGGUUGAGAGGCGAUCCGUCGCCGAUCGUCGGCCGUCCCGCCGCGCGCGGCGUCACCCGUGGGACCGGACUCGCCCGCGGCCGCGGGCGCUCGGACCGCGACCCCAGGUCAGGCGCGGCCACCCGCUGAAUUUAAGCAUAUCAAUAAGC